AUUUAUGUAGUUUAAAUAAAACAUUACAUUUUCACUGUAAAAAUAUUAUUUUAUAAUCCUAAGUU
rnacentral:tRNA from 1 species